CUGGCGUCAGGAUGAACGCUGGCGGCGUGCUUAACACAUGCAAGUCGAACGAGGAUUGCUGGUUGAAGUUUCGGAUGGAAACCGGUAAGUCCUAGUGGCGGACGGGUGAGUAACGCGUGGGGAACCUGCCCCGCUCCGGGGGAUACCAGCUGGAAACGGCUGUUAAUACCGCAUAAGCGCACAGUAUCGCAUGAUACAGUGUGAAAAACUCCGGUGGUGUGAGAUGGACCCGCGUCUGAUUAGCUAGUUGGUGAGGUAACGGCCCACCAAGGCGACGAUCAGUAGCCGGCCUGAGAGGGUGUACGGCCACAUUGGGACUGAGACACGGCCCAAACUCCUACGGGAGGCAGCAGUGGGGAAUAUUGCACAAUGGGGGAAACCCUGAUGCAGCGACGCCGCGUGAGUGAUGAAGUAUCUCGGUAUGUAAAGCUCUAUCAGCAGGGAAGAUAAUGACGGUACCUGACUAAGAAGCACCGGCUAAAUACGUGCCAGCAGCAGC
rnacentral:rRNA from 1 species